AGCAGCCGCGGUAAUUCCAGCUCCAAUAGCGUAUAUUAAAGUUGUUGCAGUUAAAAAGCUCGUAGUUGAAUUUCGGGGUCAGUAGGUUGGUCGUGCCACUGGUAUGUACUGGUCCCACUGAUUCCUCCUUCCUGAUGAACCGUAAUGCCAUUAAUUUGGUGUUGCGGGGAGACUGGACUGUUACUUUGAAAAAAUUAGAGUGUUUAAAGCAGGCUAACGCUUGAAUACAUUAGCAUGGAAUAAUGAAAUAGGACGUUCGAUCCUAUUUUGUUGGUUUCUAGGAUUGACGUAAUGAUUAAUAGGGAUAGUUGGGGGCAUUAGUAUUCAAUUGUCAGAGGUGAAAUUCUUGGAUUUAUUGAAGACUAACUACUGCGAAAGCAUUUGCCAAGGAUGUUUUCAUUAAUCAAGAACGAAAGUUAGGGGAUCGAAGACGAUCAGAUACCGUCGUAGUCUUAACCAUAAACUAUGCCGACUAGGGAUCGGAUGAUGUUAAUUUUUUUAAUGACUCAUUCGGCGCCUU
rnacentral:rRNA from 1 species